rnacentral:rRNA from 1 species
UACGUAGGGUGCGAGCGUUGUCCGGAAUUAUUGGGCGUAAAGAGCUUGUAGGCGGUUUGUCGCGUCUGCUGUGAAAAUCCGGGGCUCAACCCCGGACUUGCAGUGGGUACGGGCAGACUAGAGUGUGGUAGGGGAGACUGGAAUUCCUGGUGUAGCGGUGGAAUGCGCAGAUAUCAGGAGGAACACCGGUGGCGAAGGCGGGUCUCUGGGCCGUAACUGACGCUGAGGAGCGAAAGCAUGGGGAGCGAACAGG